rnacentral:misc_RNA from 1 species
UCAAUGAGAGAGAACUCAUUCGCGACCAAUGCGUUUCAAAGGCAGCGGCGCUAGCGCCUGUGGAAAACGCUACCCCCGAACGAGUCACGAGAGGGAUCGACGGAGGCUCCGUAUUAUCCUGUGAGAAUGCACUAAAGUCGGCGGAACGUAGCGGUGUCGAAAGAGGAAGGCUGGUGUUGGCCCUGGACAGCGGUACCAACUGCGCAGCUGAGAGACGACGGCUGGAGUCGUCGAUUUGGCAACGUAGGAGUAAACCUGCGCGCAUGGUAGAAUCAGCGACCAGAACCACGUCCAACUGAAUGGGAACACUGAAGUCUUUGUUCUGUUUCUGCUUGUCGAUUUUCCCGGUGUUUUUUGGUGUCGACCCUGCACUUUUGGAAGUGAAGCAAGAAAGGCACACAGCUUACCAGUUAGUUUACGUUUCCCGGUUAUGUUUUUGACGUGACUCGUUUCGCGCUUUGCCGCUGGAACUCGUGACAUCCUGGAACAACGCUGCGCAAAACUACCAGAAUCAUCAUUCCAUGCUCAUGCACGAGCCUCCACGGUUCACCUUCGCUUUCCAAGUAGCAUACGCAAAUCACGCAGUGUUCAAGUAUUUGAUCUUUGUGUUUCACUGCAAAUCGUGGGCGCUUCAAUUCGUGUCGCUGGACUGAAGAUGACCAGUACACGAUAUCGUUGAUUGAAGACCUUUUCACAUGCUCAUGCCGAAAGUUCAUUGAACUGUUCGAGUCGAACAAUGAACUCUGCUCGAAAGACAAAUCCCUCUCUAUUUCCGGUCGUCGAAGGAUCAGCAUUCGACUGCAGCAUGAUACCGCUGACGGGAUAUGAUCCCAGAGGCGCCGGUCUCUUCCGUUCACAAACGGAACAGCGUCUUGGACUUAGGCUUUCGCGAUGGCAACGAUCGCUUCCAGUAGAGACAUCGUCAUCGCUUGCCACAGAGGGAGCGUAGGCGGAUCGAGAUUUCUCGACCCGUCCUCCAGCACAGGAUUUUUUUCCGAUACCCGUUUCAUCAUGGAUACCAUCGCGUUUCACAAAUCCUGUAUUGACUAGCACGGCGGAUGCCUGUACGUCCAGCUGGCAGCUGCGUAUUCGCCGAGGAGAUCACCUACGCGAAGCUCGUGUUUGUAGAUUGCAGCGCUGGACGCGGAAACGGAGUGCAUCGAGGAAAGGUAUCUGUACUACGCCAGGUCAUGCACCGAGCGAUGAAGCACGCUUUUUCGCGCUACAGGUCUGCUCUCGAAGGAGGUGUUGUAGUGGACAUACGGGAGCUCCUGAUCACAGACAAGUGUCCCAGCUGCAAAUGGCGUACCGAAUCCGCAUGCAGAGAAGAUCACCAUCGCAAGCGAAGCGUAGGUCGUAACCGCAGCCUAUGAGUGGAAUGUCGUAGAGAACUUGCGGAAGCAGCGGACUCGGGACUUGAACGCCGCAUUCAGUGUCGUUCGACUGCCGAAACCCGGCCUGACGAGAAACGCGAGACCGGCAUAUUGCAAGGCGCGAACAAGAUAGAGGAGAAGGUAGCAGCGGUUUAGACAACCCGUAAAAGUUGGUAUUCAUCA